rnacentral:rRNA from 1 species
AAGGUAGCGAAAUUCCUUGUCGGGUAAGUUCCGACCCGCACGAAAGGCGUAACGAUUUGGGCACUGUCUCAACGAGAGACUCGGUGAAAUCAUAGUACCUGUGAAGAUGCAGGUUACCCGCGACAGGACGGAAAGACCCCGUGGAGCUUUACUGUAGCCUGAUAUUGAAAUUCGGCACAGCUUGUACAGGAUAGGUAGGAGCCUUUGAAACGUGAGCGCUAGCUUACGUGGAGGCGCUGGUGGGAUACUACCCUAGCUGUGUUGGCUUUCUAACCCGCACCACUUAUCGUGGUGGGAGACAGUGUCAGGCGGGCAGUUUGACUGGGGCGGUCGCCUCCUAAAAGGUAACGGAGGCGCUCAAAGGUUCCCUCAGAAUGGUUGGAAAUCAUUCAUAGAGUGUAAAGGCAUAAGGGAGCUUGACUGCGAGACCUACAAGUCGAGCAGGGUCGAAAGACGGACUUAGUGAUCCGGUGGUUCCGCAUGGAAGGGCCAUCGCUCAACGGAUAAAAGCUACCCCGGGGAUAACAGGCUUAUCUCCCCCAAGAGUUCACAUCGACGGGGAGGUUUGGCACCUCGAUGUCGGCUCAUCGCAUCCUGGGGCUGUAGUCGGUCCCAAGGGUUGGGCUGUUCGCCCAUUAAAGCGGUACGCGAGCUGGGUUCAGAACGUCGUGAGACAGUUCGGUCCCUAUCCGUCGUGGGCGUAGGAAAUUUGAGAGGAGCUGUCCUUAGUACGAGAGGACCGGGAUGGACAUACCUCUGGUGUACCAGUUGUCGUGCCAACGGCAUAGCUGGGUAGCUAUGUGUGGACGGGAUAAGUGCUGAAAGCAUCUAAGCAUGAAGCCCCCCUCAAGAUGAGAUUUCCCAACUUCGGUUAUAAGAUCCCUCAAAGAUGAUGAGGUUAAUAGGUUCGAGGUGGAAGCAUGGUGACAUGUGGAGCUGACGAAUACUAAUCGAUCGAAGACUUAAUCAA